GGACAUAGGCAUGAUCUGGCUGGCUAGGCGGGUGUCCCCUUCCUCCCUCACCGCUCCAUGUGCGUCCCUCCCGAAGCUGCGCACUCGGUCGAAGAGGACGACCAUCCCCGAUAGAGGAGGACCGGUCUUCGGUCAAGGGUAUACGAGUAGCUGCGCUCCCCUGCUAGAACCUCCAAACAAGCUCUCAAGGACAUAGGCAUGGGUAAGGACUUCAUGUCUAAAACACCAAAGGCAAU
rnacentral:snRNA from 1 species